UACGUAGGGUGCGAGCGUUAAUCGGAAUACUGGGCGUAAAGUGUGCGCAGGCGGCCGCGCAAGUCGAGUGUGAAAGCCCCGAGCUUAACUUGGGAAUUGCGCUCGAAACUACGUGGCUGGAGUGUGGCAGAGGAAGGUGGAAUUCCAGGUGUAGCAGUGAAAUGCGUAGAUAUCGGGAGGAAUACCGAUGGCGAAGGCAGGUCUCUGGGCUGACACUGACGCUCAUGCACGAAAGCGUGGGGAGCAAACAGG
rnacentral:rRNA from 1 species